CGGAUGAGUGAGUUAGAGGUGUUUUAGUUUCAGUGCUCACUGUUUCGCUGAACUUCGUGUCGCUCGUGCGCUUCCCACAGUGGCCGGCAGUACUCCGAAAGGUGAGCACGGCCUCCAGCACGCCGAGACAUGUCAGUGGGUCUCUCGGUUCGGUUGAAUGAGCAUCGGUUUGCAUUGUCGAGCCAUAAAAGCCCCGAAAUCACAUAAAAUAAUGUGAUUUCGGGUAAUCGGGAGGGCUUUUAUGCAAUUUGGGUUUUCG
rnacentral:lncRNA from 1 species